GCGGAGGCUACCAUGCCUUCGAGCGGUUGACGGGAGCUUGCUCCCUGAUUCAGCGGCGGACGGGUGAGUAAUGCCUAGGAAUCUGCCUAUUAGUGGGGGACAACGUUUCGAAAGGAACGCUAAUACCGCAUACGUCCUACGGGAGAAAGCAGGGGACCUUCGGGCCUUGCGCUAAUAGAUGAGCCUAGGUCGGAUUAGCUAGUUGGUGGGGUAAAGGCUCACCAAGGCGACGAUCCGUAACUGGUCUGAGAGGAUGAUCAGUCACACUGGAACUGAGACACGGUCCAGACUCCUACGGGAGGCAGCAGUGGGGAAUAUUGGACAAUGGGCGAAAGCCUGAUCCAGCCAUGCCGCGUGUGUGAAGAAGGUCUUCGGAUUGUAAAGCACUUUAAGUUGGGAGGAAGGGUUGUAGAUUAAUACUCUGCAAUUUUGACGUUACCGACAGAAUAAGCACCGGCUAACUCUGUGCCAGCAGCCGCGGUAAUACAGARGGUGCAAGCGUUAAUCGGAAUUCUGGGCGUAAACGCGCGUAGNGGGUUGUUAAUUGGAUGUGAAACCCGGCUCACCUGGGA
rnacentral:rRNA from 1 species